AACGUAGGACGCAAGCGUUAUCCGGAGUUACUGGGCGUAAAGCGCGGGCGGGCGGUCUUGCCAGUCUGAUGUGAAAUCUCCUCGCUCAACGGGGAGCAGCCAUUGGAAACUACAAGACUGGAGUCUGACAGAGGUAGGCGGAAUUCCGGGUGGAGUGGUGAAAUGCGUAGAGAUCCGGAGGAACACCAGAGGCGAAGGCGGCCUACUGGGUCAGUACUGACGCUGAGCCGCGAAAGCCAGGGGAGCGAACGGG
rnacentral:rRNA from 1 species